GCUGUAGGGGCCCAAGGGGGCUAUAGGGGCCUGGCUGGGGAUGUGGUAGGGAUCUUUCUGGUGGCCUGGGGGGGCUCUAGGGGCCCAAGGCGGGUAUAGGGCCCUGGCUGGGGAUUUGUGGGGCUAGAGGGGCCUGGUCGGGAGCCUGAGGGUGCUAUAGGGGCUUAGCUGGCAAACUGUGGGGACCUAAGGGGGCUAUAGGGGCCUGGCUGGGGAUGUGGUGGCCUGUAGGAGCUAUAGGGGUCUGUCUGGUGGCUUGAGGGGGUUAUAGGGGCCUGCCUGGGUGUCUGUGGAGGCUAUAGGGACCUGUGGGAGCUAUAGGGGCCUUUGAAGGUGGAGCCUGUGGGCACUGCAGGGGACUGGCCUGGGUCUGUGGGGGCAGUGGGGGCCCAGCUGGUUGUGUGGGCACUAUAGGAGCCCCACAGGGGGACUGGGGGGCUAUGGGUGCUAUAGGGACCCCGCUGGGCCUGCAGGGAGCUACUGGCACUGUAGGGGCUUAGCUGGGGGAAUGGAGGCCUGUGGGGUGUAUGGGUGCUGCAGGGGCCCAGCCAGGCUUGUGGGUGCUCUGGGGGCUUGCUGAGGGUGUGGGGGCCUGUGGGUACCUAUAGGAGCCUGUCUGGGAGGUAUGGGCCACAUAGAGUUGCAGCUGAGGCAGGGGGAGGCUGGGUGAUGUCUGCAGCAGGACUUCAGCAUAUGUCUUCUAAACCCUGUUUUACUUCCCAGACCACUGGACCAACCCGCUCUGCAGGAGAACAGGAAUUCCCAGGCUCCCCACCUCCUUCCCCCCGUAGUGGGACCAGGGUUUUGUCUGAAUCUCCUGCGCGCAAGUACCGUGGCAUUGCCCUCAGCCGGGCUUCUCAAUGUCAGGCCUGGGUGGUUUGGAUAAUGGAUAGCACUGGCAGCAGGAGAAACGGAGUGGCAGAGGAUGGGGGGAGAGCCUGCCAGGCGCUGAAGAUGCGAGUGUUAGCCAGCCAAGUGCACUAUGGAAAUUAAAUUGGACUGCAGAGCACUCCGGCACUGCGUCGUGACAGGAGAGUGAGUUGGCAGAAAUACUUAGAUGUGUCUGAUCUCACUGGGUUUAAUCAGCUUUAGACCCGGAAUAAGGCAGAUCUGUUGGACGGGUGCCGGCUGGCCUCAGUGGUGGAGCAGGGUCGGGAGAGGGAAGAUGUUGUCGUCCCCUCGGAGCGGCCAGGGGCAGGGAGUAUCAGGAAGGGGAAAAGCGUGGCCUGGAAGAGGCUGAGAGGGCAGCGACUGGGGCAGGGGGUAGGGGCUGUGCUUCUCCAGCUUGGUACUGGCAAGGCAGGCAGGGCUCGAGUCGCCCCGACAGACUUUGGGUGAAGACAGCACAAAGUGGUGCCUUGUUGCAGCCUCCGUGUUGGCUGUUUCUUUUGAGCUCUCUGCAGGGCAGCUCUGGCAGGGAUCGCUCGCCCACCGCCAAAACGCAGUGGGAUGUGUGUGCCGCAACCUGGAGCAGGCGUUCGGUGGAGGAGCAGAGAGGAGGCAAUUCCACCGGUUGUAAGCUAGAAAAGUUGUCUCUCUGAGCAGCCUUGGCUCCCUCCCAAAGGGGUCUUUGCAUCCCAGCUGGAAUCUCACUGGGGAUUUAGUUCCUCAUUCUUCUGGUAUCCCAUUGCCUCCAUGCUCUGAGCUGGUGACCUGGAGGCACUCUGGCUACAGUUGCAAGAACUCGAGCGUAAAAUGUGGCCAAAGAUAAACCAGUGAAUGGGUAAAAAUAACCCCCGCUUACUCCCCACACGCCUGUCCGGUAUCAGCCUGCUCCAGUUACACAAACAAGUCCUUGCCUGCAGAAGCCCAUGCAGCCAUGGGAAGGGCAGAGGAAUUUGUUUUCACUGCUGGCUAACGCAGGAAUGAAGCGCUGAACGUCAAGGGCCUGUGAAGGAGCUUUGCUGGUAACCGUUAACGCCUCCCUGGGCGCACGCGGGGCUUAACACCUCUCCGAGGUGCGGUCUCUGGCUCCGCGCGCUCCGGGAUGCUCCGCAGCUUCCGUUUCUGAAACUGCGUCUAGCAGCGAAGACGCGCUCCCGCGUCUUUGACGAGAGCUGCGAUCCGACCUUGGCUGCCUGCUGCAGCACGGGGCUGGCGGAGGCUCCCGAGCGCGGCUCCUCUGCCCUCCGCUGUCCCUCUGCUCCCCCGCCCGCCUUCUGCGCGAGGAUGCUCCGUGGAGCGGCUGCGGGAGCCGGGAAUCGAUUCGGCCCUUGCAGAGCUAAUGGCGCUGAAGUGGUUUGGCCGCUCUCGUGAACUGGAGGAGUUCUCAGGAGCGUUUCUCUCCCUCCCUCCGUCUGUUUGGAAGCGAGUGGUGAUCCUCUCCCUCCUCCCCCGUGUCCCGAGCUCUGCUCCCAUCCCGGGCUGCUCCCUGACUUCAGCUAUUCAGGAGCCGCUGGGGCGAGGCUGCAGCUUCCAGGAGCUGAGGGUCCAGAUCCAAGAAAGGGCUUGGAGUGAAGUGAAUCCUCUAAACAAGGAAGUUUUUUCUCACGACAUGUGAGUUGCUGUUUAACAACCCCUCCUCCCCCCUUUUCAUUCUCACCCCAACCAAAAACCCCCCCUCGUAUUUCAUGCCUGAGCCCGCGGGAACAAUGUCCUGAUGGGGAGUCGGGCCUGGAGAAAGCAUUCCCUUCUGGAAACCGAGCCUCAUUUGGAAGUUGGCUCUUGUAUUGAAAAUAAAAUUCUCAUGAGACAA